UACGGGGGGGGCAAGCGUUGUUCGGAAUUACUGGGCGUAAAGAGCUCGUAGGCGGCUUGUCGCGUCGUCCGUGAAAACUCACAGCUCAACUGUGAGCUUGCGGUCGAUACGGGCAGGCUAGAGUUCGGUAGGGGAGACUGGAAUUCCUGGUGUAGCGGUGAAAUGCGCAGAUAUCAGGAGGAACACCGGUGGCGAAGGCGGGUCUCUGGGCCGAUACUGACGCUGAGGAGCGAAAGCGUGGGGAGCGAACAGG
rnacentral:rRNA from 1 species